CCUCAGUGAACAUGGGGUUCUCUAGAUCAGGCAGGUGGCAGAGAGGAGAUAGUGUGGGUCAGAAUGGGAAGGCCGGCAGCCAUCCUUGCCACCUUUUCUUUCCCCUCCCUCACAUCCCCCUCCCCACCUGCUCUGGAGGAAACCACAGUCACCCUCACCACUAGGGUAGCUCUUCGGGGCCGGAAGUGUUUCCAUUUUUAGGGAAAUGACUUACCUGAGACAUGAGGCAGGAAUCCAUUAGAACU
rnacentral:lncRNA from 1 species